rnacentral:tRNA from 2 species
AGGGCUGUAGCUCAGUGGUAGAGCUCAUUCUGCUUACUAUGCAUGAGGCUCUGGGUUUAAUCCUCAGCACCACUC